rnacentral:tRNA from 1 species
CCUCUCGUAGAAUAGCGGUAACGCGCCCCAUCUAUCGAGUUGGGAGUCGUGAGUUCGAUUCUCACCGAGAAGA